rnacentral:rRNA from 1 species
CCUACGGGAGGCAGCAGUGGGGAAUAUUGCACAAUGGGGGAAACCCUGAUGCAGCGACGCCGCGUGAGUGAAGAAGUAUUUCGGUAUGGAAAGCUCUAUCAGCAGGGAAGAAAAUGACGGUACCUGACUAAGAAGCCCCGGCUAACUACGUGACAGCAGCCGCGGUAAUACGUAGGGGGCAAGCGUUAUCCGGAUUUACUGGGUGUAAAGGUAGCGUAGACGGCCAGACAAGUCAGAAGUGAAAGCCCAGGGCUCAACCGUGGGACUGCUUUUGAAACUGGCAGGCUUGAGUGCAGGAGAGGUAAGCGGAAUUCCUAGUGUAGCGGUGAAAUGCGUAGAUAUUAGGAGGAACACCAGUGGCGAAGGCGGCUUACUGGACUGUAACUGACGUUGAGGCUCGAAAGCGUGGGGAGCAAACAGGAUUAGAUACCCUUGUAGUC